UUUCAGUAAAAAAUAGAAAAUGAUAAGAGUAUUUAGCAGUAUUACAGGAUGUUCAUCUUAGCCAGGUGCGAAAACCAUAGAGGUGGUAUUUAAAAUUUUUUCAAAUAAGGACAAACUUCAAAUACCAUCUCUGUGAUUUCACACUUUCUUAAUUUAGUACCCUAUGCUUCAAAAUGUAUCAGAUUAGUGCCAUGUGAUUUUAUUUUUCUCAUUUUAUAAUCCAUUCCGCUAAUUUUUUCUUCGUUAAAUCAGUGACAAAGUUAAAACUAAAGCCUACUAAAGAGAAUAUUCAAUAAACCUAUGUGGGUAUCUGAAGUAUUUUGUAUAUAAUUUAAUAAAAUAUUAACAAAAAAGCUGACAAAAAAAGAAAAAUAAAACCAUAGGGUAUUAAGGCUUGUUUGGUAUUGAGGCCUAUCUAAUGUUAUUAGAUAAAACGGAGUUGAGGAAAAAUCAUAUAGGGAUAUAUUUCUGCGUUCUCCGGUGGAAUCGUAGAAAAUAUAUAGUAACUAACUCAUCGCGAUAUGCGGAACAUAAUAUUACGUACGGAAACAAACAAAGUAUUUUUCCAACGUACUUUCUCACCGUACAUAACAUAAUCUCCCUGUAAUUCCAAACGAAACCUAAAUUGAUACAUUUUAAGUCAUAGGGUACUAAAGUGAGAAAGUGCGAAACCACAGGGGUGGUAUUUGAAGUUUGCCCAAAAAUAAUUUCU
rnacentral:lncRNA from 1 species